rnacentral:rRNA from 1 species
GGCUAUAUCGUAUCAGCUAGUUGGUAAGGUAAUGGCUUACCAAGGCUAUGACGCGUAACUGGUCUGAGAGGAUGAUCAGUCACACUGGAACUGAGACACGGUCCAGACUCCUACGGGAGGCAGCAGUAGGGAAUAUUGCUCAAUGGGGGAAACCCUGAAGCAGCAACGCCGCGUGGAGGAUGACACUUUUCGGAGCGUAAACUCCUUUUGUUAGGGAAGAAUAAUGACGGUACCUAACGAAUAAGCACCGGCUAACUCCGUGCCAGCAGCCGCGGUAAUACGGAGGGUGCAAGCGUUACUCGGAAUCACUGGGCGUAAAGGACGCGUAGGCGGAUUAUCAAGUCUCUUGUGAAAUCUAACGGCUUAACCGUUAAACUGCUUGGGAAACUGAUAAUCUAGAGUAAGGGAGAGGCAGAUGGAAUUCUUGGUGUAGGGGUAAAAUCCGUAGAGAUCAAGAAGAAUACCCAUUGCGAAAGCGAUCUGCUGGAACUUAACUGACGCUAAUGCGUGAAAGCGUGGGGAGCAAACAGGAUUAGAUACCCUGGUAGUCCACGCCCUAAACGAUGUAUACUAGUUGUUGCUUCGCUAGUCGAGGCAGUAAUGCACCUAACGGAUUAAGUAUACCGCCUGGGGAGUACGGUCGCAAGAUUAAAACUCAAAGGAAUAGACGGGGACCCGCACAAGCGGUGGAGCAUGUGGUUUAAUUCGAAGAUACGCGAAGAACCUUACCCGGACUUGAUAUCUAACAAAUCAUCCAGAGAUGGAAGAGUGUCUGCUUGCAGAAAUGUUAAGACAGGUGCUGCACGGCUGUCGUCAGCUCGUGUCGUGAGAUGUUGGGUUAAGUCCCGCAACGAGCGCAACCCACGUCAUUAGUUGCUAACGGUUCGGCCGAGCACUCUAAUGAGACUGCCUUCGCAAGGAGGAGGAAGGUGUGGACGACGUCAAGUCAUCAUGGCCCUUAUGUCCGGGGCGACACACGUGCUACAAUGGCGUAUACAAUGAGACGCAAUAUCGCGAGAUGGAGCAAAUCUAUAAAAUACGUCCCAGUUCGGAUUGGAGUCUGCAACUCGACUCCAUGAAGCCGGAAUCGCUAGUAAUCGUAGAUCAGCCAUGCUACGGUGAAUACGUUCCCGGGUCUUGUACUCACCGCCCGUCACACCAUGGGAGUUGAUUUCACUCGAAGCCCAAAUACCAAACUGGUUAUGGUCCACAGUGGAAUCAGCGACUGGGGUGAAGUCGUAACAAGGUAACCGUAGGAGAACCUGCGGUUG